rnacentral:rRNA from 1 species
UACGAAGGGGGCUAGCGUUGCUCGGAAUCACUGGGCGUAAAGCGCACGUAGGCGGAUUGCUAAGUCAGGGGUGAAAUCCUGGAGCUCAACUCCAGAACUGCCUUUGAUACUGGCGACCUUGAGUCCGGGAGAGGUGAGUGGAACUGCGAGUGUAGAGGUGAAAUUCGUAGAUAUUCGCAAGAACACCAGUGGCGAAGGCGGCUCACUGGCCCGGUACUGACGCUGAGGUGCGAAAAGCGUGGGGAGCAAACAGG